GGCUCAGAUUGAACGCUGGCGGCAUGCCUUACACAUGCAAGUCGAACGGCAGCACGGGGCAACCUGGUGGCGAGUGGCGAACGGGUGAGUAAUGCAUCGGAACGUGCCAUUGAGUGGGGGAUAACGUAGCGAAAGUUGCGCUAAUACCGCAUAUUCUGUGAGCAGGAAAGCAGGGACCGCAAGGCCUUGCGCUCUUUGAGCGGCCGAUGUCAGAUUAGCUAGUUGGUGAGGUAACGGCUUACCAAGGCGACGAUCUGUAGCGGGUCUGAGAGGAUGAUCCGCCACACUGGAACUGAGACACGGUCCAGACUCCUACGGGAGGCAGCAGUGGGGAAUUUUGGACAAUGGGCGCAAGCCUGAUCCAGCCAUGCCGCGUGAGUGAAGAAGGCCUUCGGGUUGUAAAGCUCUUUCGGCCGGGAAGAAAUCGCAUGGGUUAAUACCCUGUGUGGAUGACGGUACCGGAAUAAGAAGCACCGGCUAACUACGUG
rnacentral:rRNA from 1 species